rnacentral:rRNA from 1 species
AACGUAGGUGGCAAGCGUUAUCCGGAAUUACUGGGCGUAAAGGGUGUGCAGGCGGACUGACAAGUGGUGUAUGAAAGGUAUGCGCUAAACGCAUGGAAUGUAUGCCAGACUGUCAGCCUUGAGUGCGAGAGAGGGGCAUGGAAUUCCGGGUGUAGUGGUGAAAUGCGUAGAGAUCCGGAGGAACCUCAGAGGCGAAGGCGGUGCCCUGGCUCGCAACUGACGCUCAGACACGACAGCAUGGGGAGCGAACGGG